GUAGAAUGUGGAAAUUCCUCAGGCUGCAGGGGUCAGGCAGGAGGGUUGCAUUUGUCUUGCAUCAGCAAGAAUCAAGAGGUUGGAAGAAGUGAGAGGGAAUUCUGACCAUGGAAAACCUCAACCACAGAUGAGGAGCCACAGCUCCGGAGCAAGCCCCAGCCCCAGCCCGGCCAUACCAGGGCGUCCGUGUGAAGGAGCCAGUGAAGGAACUGCUGAGGAGGAAGCGAGGCCACGCCAGCAGCGGGGCAGCACCUGCACCUACGGCGGUGGUGCUGCCCCAUCAGCCCCUGGCGACCUACACCACAGUGGGUUCUUCCUGCCUGGACAUGGAAGGCUCUGUGUCUGCAGUGACAGAGGAGGGUGCCCUGUGUGCCGGCUGGCUCUCCCAGCCCACCCCGGCCACCCUCCAGCCCCUGGCCCCAUGGACACCUUACACCGAGUAUGUGCCCCAUGAAGCUGUCAGCUGCCCCUACUCAGCUGACAUGUAUGUGCAGCCCGUGUGCCCCAGCUACACGGUGGUGGGGCCCUCCUCAGUGUUGACCUAUGCCUCUCCGCCACUCAUCACCAAUGUCACGACAAGAAGCUCCGCCACGCCCGCAGUGGGGCCCCCGCUG
rnacentral:sRNA from 1 species